rnacentral:ncRNA from 1 species
CACCUGGGUUGAUCCUGCCAGUAGUCAUAUGCUUGUCUCAAAGAUUAAGCCAUGCAUGUCUAAGUAUAAGCUUUAAACGGCGAAACUGCGAAUGGCUCAUUAAAACAGUUAUAGUUUAUUUGGUGAUCGAUUACUAUUUGGAUAACCGUAGUAAUUCUAGAGCUAAUACAUGCGUCAAGGCCCGACUUCGGAAGGGCUGCGUUUAUUAGAUACAGAACCAACCUAGGCUCCGCCUAGUCCUUGUUGGUGAUUCAUAAUAACCCGGCGAAUCGCACGGCUUGUCCGGCGAUGGACCAUUCAAGUUUCUGACCUAUCAGCUAUGGACGGUAGGGUAUUGGCCUACCGUGGCGUUGACGGGUAACGGGGAAUUAGGGUUCGAUUCCGGAGAGGGAGCCUGAGAAACGGCUACCACAUCUAAGGAAGGCAGCAGGCGCGCAAAUUACCCAAUCCUGAUACAGGGAGGUAGUGACAAGAAAUAACAAUACAGGGCAAUUCUGUCUUGUAAUUGGAAUGAGUAGAUUUUAAAUCUCUUUACGAGUAUCAAUUGGAGGGCAAGUCUGGUGCCAGCAGCCGCGGUAAUUCCAGCUCCAAUAGCGUAUAUUAAAGUUGUUGCGGUUAAAAAGCUCGUAGUUGGAUUUCUGCCUUGGGCGACCGAUCCACCUUUCCUACGGGAUUGGUCGGUAUCAGGUUUGACCUUGGCUUUUUCUUGGGAUUCGUGCUCACGUACUUAACUGUGCGUUGACCGUGUUCCAAGACUUUUACUUUGAGGAAAUUAGAGUGUUUCAAGCAGGCUUAUGCCAUGAAUACAUUAGCAUGGAAUAAUAGGAUAUGACUUCGGUCAUAUUUUGUUGGUUUCUAGGACUGAAGUAAUGAUUAAUAGGGACAGUCGGGGGCAUUCGUAUUUAACUGUCAGAGGUGAAAUUUCUUGGAUUUGGUAAAGACGAACUACUGCGAAAGCAUUUGCCAAGGAUGUUUUCAUUUGAUCCAGAACGAAAGUUAGGGGAUCGAGGACGAUCAGAUACCGUCCUAGUCUUAACCAUAAACUAUGCCCGACUAGG